rnacentral:rRNA from 1 species
AGAGUUUGAUCCUGGCUCAGGAUGAACGCUGGCGGCGUGCUUAACACAUGCAAGUCGAGCGAGAAUUAGUUACUGGAGGCUUCGGCCAAAGGUAACUGAGGAAAGCGGCGGACGGGUGAGUAACGCGUGGGUAACCUACCUUAUACAGGGGGAUAACAUAUUGAAAAGUAUGCUAAUACCGCAUAAGCGCACGAAAUCGCAUGAUUUUGUGUGAAAAGCCGAGACGGUAUAAGAUGGACCCGCGUCUGAUUAGCUAGUAGGUGAGGUAAUGGCUCACCUAGGCGACGAUCAGUAGCCGACCUGAGAGGGUGAACGGCCACAUUGGGACUGAGACACGGCCCAAACUCCUACGGGAGGCAGCAGUGGGGAAUAUUGCACAAUGGGGGAAACCCUGAUGCAGCGACGCCGCGUGAAGGAUGAAGGUUUUCGGAUCGUAAACUUCUAUCAGCAGGGACGAUAAUGACGGUACCUGACUAAGAAGCCCCGGCUAACUACGUGCCAGCAGCCGCGGUAAUACGUAGGGGGCAAGCGUUAUCCGGAAUUACUGGGUGUAAAGGGUGCGUAGGCGGUAAUGUAAGUCAGGUGUGAAAGCCCGAAGCUCAACUUCGGGAUUGCACUUGAAACUACAUAACUAGAGUACAGGAGAGGUGAGUGGAAUUCCUAGUGUAGCGGUGAAAUGCGUAGAUAUUAGGAGGAACACCAGUGGCGAAGGCGACUCACUGGACUGUAACUGACGCUGAGGCACGAAAGCGUGGGGAGCGAACAGGAUUAGAUACCCUGGUAGUCCACGCUGUAAACGAUGAAUGCUAGGUGUCGGGGGUAUCGACCCCCUGCUGCAGUUAACGCAAUAAGUAUUCCGCCUGGGGAGUAUGCACGCAAGUGUGAAACUCAAAGGAAUUGACGGGACCCCGCACAAGCGGUGGAUUAUGUUGUUUAAUUCGAAGCAACGCGAAGAACCUUACCAGGUCUUGACAUCCCUCUGACCGGUCCGUAACGGGACCUUUCCUUCGGGACAGAGGAGACAGGUGCUGCAUGGUUGUCGUCAGCUCGUGCCGUGAGGUGUUGGGUUAAGUCCCAUAACGAGCGCAACCCUUAUCGUUAGUUGCCAGCGGGUCAAGCCGGGGACUCUAGCGAGACUGCCACCGUAAGGUGUGAGGAAGGUGGGGAUGACGUCAAAUCAGCACGGCCCUUAUGUCCAGGGCUACACACGUGUUACAAUGGCCGAUACAAAGGGCAGCUACCAGGUGACUGGAUGCUAAUCUCCAAAGUCGGUCUCAGUUCGGAUCGAAGUCUGCAACCCGACUUCGUGAAGCUGGAUUCGCUAGUAAUCGCAUAUCAGCCAUGGCGCGGUGAAUACGUUCCCGGGCCUUGUACACACCGCCCGUCAAGCCAUGGAAGUUGGGGGUGCCUAAAGUUCGUGACCGCAAGGAGCGACCUAGGGUAAAACCAAUGACUGGGGCUAAGUCGUAACAAGUAACC